AAUAGAUACCCCUGGUAGUCCACGACCGUAAACCGAUGUCGACUUGGAGGUUAGUUCCCUUGAGGAGGUGGCUUCCGGAGCUAACGCGUUAAGUCGACCGCCUGGGGGAGUACGGCCGCAAGGUUAAAACUCAAAUGAAUUGACGGGGGGCCCGCACAAGCGGUGGAGCAUGUGGUUUAAUUCGAUGCAACGCGAAGAACCUUACCUACUCUUGACAUCCAGAGAACUUAGCAGAGAUGCUUUGGUGCCUUCGGGAACUCUGAGACAGGUGCUGCAUGGCUGUCGUCAGCUCGUGUUGUGAAAUGUUGGGUUAAGUCCCGCAACGAGCGCAACCCUUAUCCUUUGUUGCCAGCGGUUAGGCCGGGAACUCAAAGGAGACUGCCAGUGAUAAACUGGAGGAAGGUGGGGAUGACGUCAAGUCAUCAUGGCCCUUACGAGUAGGGCUACACACGUGCUACAAUGGCGCAUACAAAGAGAAGCGACCUCGCGAGAGCAAGCGGACCUCAUAAAGUGCGUCGUAGUCCGGGAUUGGAGU
rnacentral:rRNA from 1 species